GACGAACGCUGGCGGCGUGCUUAACACAUGCAAGUCGAACGGAAAGGCCCUGCUUUUGUGGGGUGCUCGAGUGGCGAACGGGUGAGUAACACGUGAGUAACCUGCCCUUGACUUUGGGAUAACUUCAGGAAACUGGGGCUAAUACCGGAUAGGAGCUCCUGCUGCAUGGUGGGGGUUGGAAAGUUUCGGCGGUUGGGGAUGGACUCGCGGCUUAUCAGCUUGUUGGUGGGGUAGUGGCUUACCAAGGCUUUGACGGGUAGCCGGCCUGAGAGGGUGACCGGCCACAUUGGGACUGAGAUACGGCCCAGACUCCUACGGGAGGCAGCAGUGGGGAAUAUUGCACAAUGGGCGGAAGCCUGAUGCAGCAACGCCGCGUGCGGGAUGACGGCCUUCGGGUUGUAAACCGCUUUCGCCUGUGACGAAGCGUGAGUGACGGUAAUGGGUAAAGAAGCACCGGCUAACUACGUGCCAUCAGCCGCGGUGAUACGUAGGGUGCGAGCGUUGUCCGGAUUUAUUGGGCGUAAAGGGCUCGUAGGUGGUUGAUCGCGUCGGAAGUGUAAUCUUGGGGCUUAACCCUGAGCGUGCUUUCGAUACGGGUUGACUUGAGGAAGGUAGGGGAGAAUGGAAUUCCUGGUGGAGCGGUGGAAUGCGCAGAUAUCAGGAGGAACACCAGUGGCGAAGGCGGUUCUCUGGGCCUUUCCUGACGCUGAGGAGCGAAAGCGUGGGGAGCGAACAGGCUUAGAUACCCUGGUAGUCCACGCUGUAAACGGUGGGUACUAGGUGUGGGGUCCAUUCCACGGGUUCCGUGCCGUAGCUAACGCUUUAAGUACCCCGCCUGGGGAGUACGGCCGCAAGGCUAAAACUCAAAGGAAUUGACGGGGCCCCGCACAAGCGGCGGAGCAUGCGGAUUAAUUCGAUGCAACGCGUAGAACCUUACCUGGGUUUGACAUGGAUCGGGAGUGCUCAGAGAUGGGUGUGCCUCUUUUGGGGUCGGUUCACAGGUGGUGCAUGGCUGUCGUCAGCUCGUGUCGUGAGAUGUUGGGUUAAGUCCCGCAACGAGCGCAACCCUUGUUCACUGUUGCCAGCACGUUAUGGUGGGGACUCAGUGGAGACCGCCGGGGUCAACUCGGAGGAAGGUGGGGAUGACGUCAAGUCAUCAUGCCCCUUAUGUCCAGGGCUUCACGCAUGCUACAAUGGCUGGUACAGAGAGUGGCGAGCCUGUGAGGGUGAGCGAAUCUCGGAAAGCCGGUCUCAGUUCGGAUUGGGGUCUGCAACUCGACCUCAUGAAGUCGGAGUCGCUAGUAAUCGCAGAUCAGCAACGCUGCGGUGAAUACGUUCCCGGGGCU
rnacentral:rRNA from 1 species